UACGUAGGGUCCGAGCGUUGUCCGGAAUUAUUGGGCGUAAAGAGCUCGUAGGCGGUUUGUCGCGUCUGCUGUGAAAUCUAGAGGCUCAACCUCUAGCGUGCAGUGGGUACGGGCAGACUGGAGUGGUGUAGGGGAGACUGGAAUUCCUGGUGUAGCGGUGGAAUGCGCAGAUAUCAGGAAGAACACCAAUGGCGAAAGCAGCUCUCUGGGACGGUACUGACGCUGAGACGCGAAAGCGUGGGGAGCGAACAGG
rnacentral:rRNA from 1 species